rfam:Penicillium freii strain DAOM 242723 scaffold_499, whole genome shotgun sequence.
CCACAUGAUGAUACAACGCAUUUGUUAUUACUUUAUUUUCUGGUACCUCUUAUGUCAGAGCUAGUGUUUUCGGAUGCUAGCUCGAUGAUCUACCUGGACUUCUGAUC